AUUGAACGCUGGCGGCAGGCCUAACACAUGCAAGUCGAACGAGCGGCGGACGUGUGAGUCAUGUCUGGGAACCUGCCUGAUGGAGGGGGAUAACUACUGGAAACGGUAGCUAAUACCGCAUACCAUCGGAUGUGCCCCGAUGGGCUUAGCUAGUAGGUGGGGUAAGGGCUCACCUGGGCGACGAUCCCUAGCUGGUCUGAGAGGAGGACCAGCCACCCGGGAACGGAGACACGGUCCAGACUCCUACGGGAGGAAGCAGUGGGGAAUAUGGCACAAGGGGCGAAAGCCUGAUGCAGCCAUGCCGGGUGUGUGAAGAAGGCCGUCGGGUUGUAAAGCACUGUCAGCGAGGAGGCGUUACUCGCAGAAGAAGCACCGGCUAACUCCGUGCCAGCAGCCGCGGUAAUUC
rnacentral:rRNA from 1 species